AUCUAUGGUUAUAAUAGACAUUUAUUGCAGUCUCACAGUUGUUAGAAAUUUUGAGUUUUAGGACAUGUCUAAGAAUCAUCGAAAUGGAAAGGUUUCCUCGGUGCGUCAAUAUCUUCAAGAAUUCGUGGACAUGGCUGCAAGCGUUAGUGGAGAGGACAGAGUCGUUCUAUCAGGCGUAACGAUCAGUGGACAGUCCUGUGCGAAAUCUUCAGUUGCGAACAGUAUCUCCAAGCAUCGAUGAAGCGAGAUGGUUGUCCAAAAGUUAUAAAUCCUGGGAGUUCAGAGACUGAUCUAUAUUAUGAAAAGAAAAAAUAUGGGUUCAAUAGAAGAUAAUGACUGAUACCAACAAUUUUUGACGUGUACAAAAUGUUUUUAAUGUCGCAAAUAAACAACUAUGUUUAUAAAAUUGUAAUAAUUUAUAUUUUUUAUUUUAAAAAUUUAAUUUCAAAUUCGCGAUCAUGCAAUCGUUUUGUUACAAAAUGUGUGUACGGAUUAAUGUUUUUGUAAGUUGUAAAGAAAUUUAAAAUAGAGAA
rnacentral:misc_RNA from 1 species